rnacentral:rRNA from 1 species
GAUAAACGCUAGCGGCAGGCUUAACACAUGCAGGUCGAGGGGCAGCAUAGAUUGUAGCAAUACAAUUGGUGGCGACCGGCGCACGGGUGCGUAACGCGUAUGCAACCUACCCGUCACAGGGGGAUAAUCCGGAGAAAUCUGGUCUAAUACCCCAUAACAUAUGGAUCGGCAUCGGUUCAUGUUGAAAUUUUCGGAGGUGAAGGACGGGCAUGCGUAGCAUUAGCUUGUUGGUGAGGUAACGGCUCACCAAGGCGACGAUGCUUAGGGGGACUGAGAGGUUUUCCCCCCACACUGGUACUGAGACACGGACCAGACUCCUACGGGAGGCAGCAGUGAGGAAUAUUGGUCAAUGGGCGCAAGCCUGAACCAGCCAUGCCGCGUGCAGGAUGACGGCUCUAUGAGUUGUAAACUGCUUUUGUACGAGGGUAAAGUGGGUUACGUGUAACCUUUUGAAAGUAUCGUACGAAUAAGGAUCGGCUAACUCCGUGCCAGCCGCCGCGGUAA